AUUCUAAUAGCUUAUCUAGAGUUUAAUAUUGAAAGUAUUAAGGAGAAAUAUUAUUAUCUUAGGAUA
rnacentral:tRNA from 1 species